rnacentral:rRNA from 1 species
CCCUUAGAUGUCCUGGGCCGCACGCGCGUUACACUGAUGCAUUCAACGAGCUUAUAACCUUGGCCGAGAGGCCUGGGCAAUCUUGUUAACGCGCAUCGUGAUAGGGAUAGAUUAUUGAAAUUAUUAAUCUUGAACGAGGAAUUCCUAGUAAACGCAGAUCAUCAAUCUGCAUUGAUUACGUCCCUGCCCUUUGUACACACCGCCCGUCGCACCUACCGAUUGGAUGGUCCGGUGAAGCCUCGGGAUUGUGGUUCUUGCCGCUUUAUUGUGGCGUGACCGCGAGAACUUGUCUAAACCUUAUCAUCUAGAGGAAGGUGAANUCGUANCA